CCAGGAAUGGGGAGCUCUGCCCACCCCCACAGAAGUGGGAUGCUGUUUGCAGAUUCAGUGAAUACAGCAGAGAGACUCGGGGAGUGGAGCCCAUUGAAAGCCCCAUUGAUCAGCCAAUCGAUGACAGCCGUGGCCAAGCGCCUGCCAGGACCACCCAGGCCCGACCCUGCAGGGGAGGUGGAGGGAUGUAUGCUCAGCCUGAAAGGGAAGAGCUCGCUCAGCUCUCUGCGGAGCCUCGCCAGAUGAACGGACUCGGGGGUGGGGCUGCCGGGGCAUCGCCGACUCCCCACCCCACCCCACCCCUGCCCGUGCCUCUCCAUGGUGCCUGCCUCCCCUGCACUGGGCCAACGUCGUUCUCCUCUGCCGUUUAAUCUCCCGAAAAACGUCCAAAAGCGAGGCUGCUUUGCUGGCUCAGAGGCUGGAUGCUUGGGCCCCGCCAGGCGGGCCAGGCUCCUGGCCU